GAAAAUCUGAAGAUGACUAACUGAUCUUGACCUGCAACAGAAGUAGUUUGGCGGUUUUGGACGAACAAUAGGGUUCGUUCACCUAGAAGACAAGGAAGUGGAAAGCCAGAGGACUUUGUCUGCAAAAACAACAAAAGAUUCAGAUGUAAGCUGGAAAGCAGGAAGAAGGUCCUGACAACGAUUGGCUGGUCGGAGAAGAAGAAGCAGAAAGUUCUUCCUCUCUUGGGGAAAGAGUUAACAUUUCUCAAAUUGGAAAACCAAAUAAUAUGGAUUCAUCUACAUU
rnacentral:lncRNA from 1 species